UAAGGUAAAUCGAUAAUUGGUUAAUGAACAAUUCGGAUAACAAACAAAAUCUUUUCAAAAAAAAAAAUUACUCAAUGAAAUUUACUUUAUAUUAAUUAAAAAAUAGCUUUUUGUAUGUCAGAAGUGGGUUACAGAAGAAGAAUGAAAUUUGUUUGUCUCUUUUUAAUUACUUUUUCAUUUUUUAUAUAAGAUUUGAUUAAUUUUCAUUAAAAUUUGUAAAUAUAAGAUGUGUAUAUAUUUAAGGAUCUAUUAUAUAGCUGAUAUAAUAUUAAUAGUCUUAAAUACAUAUGACAGUCUUAUAAUAGUUAAAUUUUAGAAUAUUCAUUGAAUUUAUAUUGUAUUUUUAUACAAAGUUUUGUAUGGAUUAAUUAUAUGAUAUCAUUUUUAAUAACUUUGGCUUAAAUAAAUAUUUGCAUAGAUUUUUUUAAUAAAAAAUAACAUUACAUGAUGUUUUAUAGAUGUGGUUAUGUAGAAAUUCCCAAAGAAAUGUGCAUAGAAAUUGAUUCAGAAUCAGACUGGAAAAUUUCAGAAUGUCAAGUCCAGUUAUAUGGUUAUAAAGGUGUAGGAAGUAAAUUAUAAAAUACAAGAAUGAUGUUAGAAUAGAUCAAAGGAAAUCAAUGGAUUCAUAAAGUAAAUCUUAGUACAGAAUAUGUUAUUUAUCUGAUAAAAGUUAAUGAUGUUAUAUUUAUUACAAUAAAAUAAAAUCAUAAAAAAAAAUCUGCUUUUAAAAGGUGAAGAGCAAGACAAGACAAGAAAUGCACUUUAUAUAUUUUUUGUAUUAUUUGUGUUGUACUGUAACAAACAUGUACGUUGAGCAGUUACAUAAUAUGUGAUGUAAACUAAUAUAUAUUUUAUAAAAGAAAAAAAUUGUA